rnacentral:tRNA from 1 species
GUGGUGGCUCAGAGGCAGAGUGCUUGCCUGGCACGUGUGAGGCCCUGGGUUCAAUUCUCAGCACCACA